GAGAAAACCACAUUUACCAUGUUGGAGGAAAAAGGAUUUCUUAAAAAGCCUGUAAGGAAAGGCUACAAUACAUCCCUGCAGCUAUUUUACAGCUAGACAUAGCUGUGCAAAUGGAUAUAAUGGAGUGAUCUUUAGAAUAUAAACCAUCCAUAACCGGCUGAGGAUUUUGGAAGGCCAGGCCACACCCUAAAGAUCAUAAAACUUCUCAAAUCAGAAGCAGAGAGAACAGAAGCCCAGACAUCCCAGCAGCCAUGGCCUCAGGGACUCCUGUACGGGAAAUCCAAGAGGAAACCAACUGUCCCAUUUGCCUGGAAUAUCUGACAGACCCAGUCACCAUACAGUGCGGGCACAACUUCUGCCAGGUCUGCAUCACUCAGCACUGUGAGACAUGGGCAGAGCUGGACUCUGACCCCUUGUGCUGCCCCAGCUGCAGAGCCCGAAUCCAGAAAGGGGCUCUCCGAAAAAACUAUCAGCUAGCAAAUAUAGUGGAAAAAAUCAAACAAAUAGAUUUCAAACCAGGAAAUGAGAAUCUGUGUGAGAGACAUGGGAAACCCCUGGAUCUGUUCUGUGAAGAGGACGGGGAAGCCGUGUGUGUGGUUUGUUGGAGAUCCUCAGAGCACAGAUCUCACCCGGUGCUUCUCAUAGAGGAGGCUGCCCAGAAAUACAAGGAACAAAUCCAGGCCCAUUUGAAGACUCGGCGGGAAGAGAGAGAAAAGCUUCUGGAAUUUAAAAUGACUGGAGAGAGAAAAAGCCAGGAGUAUCUG